rnacentral:ncRNA from 1 species
GCUUAAUUUGACUCAGCACGGGGAAAUUCACCUAGCCCGGACACCGUAAGAAUUGACAGAUUGAGAGCUCUUUCUUGAUUCGUUGGGGAAUAUGAUCUGCAUCUGUAGGAUAGGGCUAC